UUCAGCUUGGCAGACUAAUGUGAUAAAUUUAGAAUUUAUUUAUGAGAUAAUUCAGUUGAUA
rnacentral:tRNA from 1 species